rnacentral:rRNA from 1 species
CACUCCUGCGGGAGGCAGCAGUGGGGAAUAUUGCACAAUGGGCACAAGCCUGAUGCAGCCAUGCCGCGUGUAUGAAGAAGGCCUUCGGGUUGUAAAGUACUUUCAGCGGGGAGGAAGGCGAUAAGGUUAAUAACCUUGUCGAUUGACGUUACCCGCAGAAGAAGCACCGGCUAACUCCGUGCCAGCAGCCGCGGUAAUACGGAGGGUGCAAGCGUUAAUCGGAAUUACUGGGCGUAAAGCGCACGCAGGCGGUCUGUCAAGUCGGAUGUGAAAUCCCCGGGCUCAACCUGGGAACUGCAUUCGAAACUGGCAGGCUAGAGUCUUGUAGAGGGGGGUAGAAUUCCAGGUGUAGCGGUGAAAUGCGUAGAGAUCUGGAGGAAUACCGGUGGCGAAGGCGGCCCCCUGGACAAAGACUGACGCUCAGGUGCGAAAGCGUGGGGAGCAAACAGGAUUAGAUACCCGGGUAGUCCCA